rnacentral:pre_miRNA from 2 species
CUUAUACUCCCUCCAUCUGGAAAUACUCGCAAAGAUGGAUGUAUCUAGAUGUAUUUUAGUUCUAGAUACAUCCAUUUCUAUUCAUUUCUUUGAGACAUUUAUUUUGGGACAGAGGGAGUAUGUC